rnacentral:misc_RNA from 1 species
UCUCCGUUGGUGAACCAGCGGAGGGAUCAUUACAGGACUCGCAAGACUCCUACAACCCUGUGAACUUAACUAUAAGCACGUUGCUUCGGCGGGUGUCUCGGAGGGGGUUCUCCCUCCCCGAGACACUAAACCCGCCGGCAGCCUACUAUACUCUGUCUCUUUGCGUUGGCAUCUCGAGUACAAUCAAGCAAGUUAAAACUUUCAACAACGGAUCUCUUGGUUCUG